GCACCGCUGAUGAGACCGAACCAGGUCGAAACAGCUGUCUGGUGC
rnacentral:hammerhead_ribozyme from 1 species